rnacentral:rRNA from 1 species
GACGAACGCUGGCGGCGUGCUUAACACAUGCAAGUCGAACGAGGUCCACUGCGUAGCAAUACAAGAGAAGACCUAGUGGCGAACGGGUGCGUAACACGUGAGGAACUUGUCCCGGUCUCUGGGAUAACAGUUGGAAACGACUGCUAAUACCGGAUGACGUCGGAAUCUCGCAUGGGAUACUGACGAAAGGGUUACUGGAUCGGGAGAGCCUCGCGGCCUAUCAGCUUGUUGGUGAGGUAACGGCUCACCAAGGCAUCGACGGGUAGCUGGUCUGAGAGGAUGAUCAGCCACACUGGGACUGAGACACGGCCCAGACUCCUACGGGAGGCAGCAGUGGGGAAUCUUGCGCAAUGGGCGAAAGCCUGACGCAGCAACGCCGCGUGCGGGAAGAAGGCCCUCGGGUUGUAAACCGCUUUCAGUAGGAACGAAAAUGACGGUACCUGCAGAAGAAGGUGCGGCCAACUACGUGCCAGCAGCCGCGGUAAU